rnacentral:rRNA from 1 species
GAUGAACGCUGGUGGCGUGCCUAAUACAUGCAAGUCGAGCGAAGCGGGGACGGGUGAGUAACACGUGGAUAACCUCCUAUAAGACUGGGAUAACUUCGGGAAACAGGAGCUAAACCGGAUGCUUAUAGAUGGAACCGCGCUGCAUUAGCUAGUUGGUAAGGUAACGGCUAACCAAGGCAACGAUGCAUAGCGGACCGGCGAGCGGGAUGGGCCAUACUUGUACUGAGACACGUUCCAGACUCCUACGGGAGGCAGCAGUAGGGAAUCUUCCGCAAUGGGCGAAAUCCUGACGUAGCAACGCCGCGUGAGUGAUGAAGGUCUUCGGGUCGUAAAACUCUGUUAUUAGGGAAGCGGUACCUAAUCAGAAAGCCACGGCUAACUACGUGCCAGCAGCCGCGGUAAUUC